rnacentral:rRNA from 1 species
GAUGAACGCUGGCGGCGUGCCUAAUACAUGCAAGUCGAGCGAACGGACGAGAAGCUUGCUUCUCUGAUGUUAGCGGCGGACGGGUGAGUAACACGUGGAUAACCUACCUAUAAGACUGGGAUAACUUCGGGAAACCGGAGCUAAUACCGGAUAAUAUUUUGAACCGCAUGGUUCAAAAGUGAAAGACGGUCUUGCUGUCACUUAUAGAUGGAUCCGCGCUGCAUUCGCUAGUUGGUAAGGUAACGGCUUACCAAGGCAACGAUGCAUAGCCGACCUGAGAGGGUGAACGGCCACACUGGAACUGAGACACGGUCCAGACUCCUACGGGAGGCAGCAGUAGGGAAUCUUCCGCAAUGGGCGAAAGCCUGACGGAGCAACGCCGCGUGAGUGAUGAAGGUCUUCGGAUCGUAAAACUCUGUUAUUAGGGAAGAACAUAUGUGUAAGUAACUGUGCACAUCUUGACGGUACCUAAUCAGAAAGCCACGGCUAACUACGUG